CAUUGUAGUCGGUUAUCCACAGUUUAGUUUUUUUUUAUAAUUCCUAAAACUUAAAAUAAAAUUCGAAACUGUUAACAUUUUUUAAUUAUAUAGAUAUUUUAAACUUAUUAUUUUUUAAUUAAAUUAGCUUAGUUUGAAUAUUAAACUCAACACAAUUUUAUUGAAUUGAUAGAUUGGAUAGCAAAAAGGUUUGCACAUUAUAAAAAUAAUUAACAAAAUUUAAUUAGGCUGCUUUUAUGGAAAUUCUCUUCUAAUUAAUAAUUUAUUUUGACAAAUAAUUUCCAAUAAUAUCAUACUGAAAGGAAAAAUUUAAUAUACAAAAUUUCUAGAAAAUAAUACUAUAUAAAUAAAUAUAUGGAUAAUUUUUAGGUAUAAUAUUAUAUGCUAACAGAAGAUUAAACACAUUAUUUUCUUUCUCGAUGGUUAAAUUUGUUAUGACUACUAACUGUAUGUUUGAUUUGCAAUGUUGUCUACAAAUUAUAAUUUCACAUAUCAUACUAAUGAUUAUGUAUCUCAGUUCUUAUAUCAGGGUUUUACUUUAGCUUUGACCUCUUUAAAUUCAACAUUUGAUAUCAUUUCAAAUUAUUGGUAAUGGUUUUCUUUGUCAUUUUAGCAAUUCUAUCAACACCCAUACCUAGAAAAAUGAGAGAUGCACUCUUCUCCAUAAAAGAUGUUCUUUCUGCAAAUUCAAAAGAACACCAAAAUUGGUGAAAAUAUUUAGAUCAGCUGCGUGAACACAUACAAAAGUAAUAACCAAAAACAACUGAAACCAAUGUGCAAACCAAUAUCACAAAUCUUAAUCCCGUCAACUUUCUCUGAGCUUGUUAACCAGUGGAUAAUCAUUAUCUAUGCAACAAUCAUUAUCUAUGUAGAUCUUUUUGUUUUAGCUGUGCAAAAUUCAAAACGUGCUCAACUAAACCUUAGCAUGUGUUUUUUUCUGUUCAUUUUUAUUCUAUCCUAAACGACGUUUUCCAAGGAUAUUAUGGUUCAUUAAGAAAAGUUAGAACUGACAAAAGGCUUGAGGGAACUUUCCACCUAAGAUGAUUUAUGCGCUAGCAGAGUUUAAGGUCUGGAUGAGAAGCAUUAGCUAGAAGGAUUCUACAGUUUUAAGUGGCUCACAAGAGGGGACACUUGGAGGGUCAAGAGUUGGAGCUUCCAAGUUGACAAGACUUGUAACACCGUUAUCCAUCUCUCCAAACUUUCUCUUUUAUUCUAUCUAUACUUCCCCAAACAAAGCCGUUAGUUAUUGCAUCACAUAAAUCCAUACACGAUUACAUUCUAAACACAAUAAUGAGAUCAAUAAGUAAACACAAACUAGUGGCUA